AACGAACGCUGGCGGCAUGCCUAACACAUGCAAGUCGAACGAGACCUUCGGGUCUAGUGGCGCACGGGUGCGUAACGCGUGGGAACCUGCCUUUAGGUUCGGAAUAAACUCAGAGAAAUUUGAGCUAAUACCGGAUGAUGUCUUCGGACCAAAAGAUUUAUCGCCUUUAGAUGGGCCCGCGUAAGGAUUAGCUAGUUGGUGGGUAAAGGCCUACCAAGGCGACGAUCUUUAGCUGGUCUGAGAGGAUGAUCAGCCACACUGGGACUGAGAC
rnacentral:rRNA from 1 species